rnacentral:miRNA from 1 species
UGUGUGUGUGUGUGUGUGUGUGUGUGUGUGUGUGUUUACAUAAUCUUAUGCACGCACACAUACACACACACACAAA